rnacentral:tRNA from 1 species
UCCUGGUUAGCUCAGUUGGUAGAGCGAUCCACGGGAAUUGGAGAGACCCCAGGUUCGAUACAAGGACCAGGCG